UUAGGCAGGAAGCACAGAAGGAGGUCCGUGUUCCUGCUCUCCUGCUGGUGGUGCUGCUGACAUACAGUCCUUCCCGCAGCCGCUGGGAUGCUGUCUUCGUGGCUUUUCACCGCCACUUCUGAUGUGAGAUAGGUGACUCAAGGAAUGGAUAUUUUCACCCAUUCUCCCUAAAGAAGAGAUUACAUUCCCUUCAUGAAGAAAAGUUUUCUACUUACCAGCCAUAGUACUUGGCUAGAGGAAAUUCUGAUUAGGAGAAAAUUGAAGCUCAGAGAGGUGAAGAUGUUUUCCCAAGGUCCCACACCAACUCUAAAAUGAGACAACACUACUUACUUAAGGAGCUUUGCCCUCAGGUAAACAGGAAAGGAAGAUGUCUCUUACUUACAGACAGGGAACAUUUUGCUGAUGAGACGGAAAGCUACUCUGUUUCUAAUCCCUUUGACUAAUGUGAACUACUGGGGGAGACUCAAGAGCCAGAGGAAGAAAGGAGAAAAAAAAGUUGAUCAAGAGUGCAUUAUGUGUAGAAGAAUAUUUCAAAGAAUAUAUGGUGACUUGCAAAAGAAUAAUUCUACAGCAGUUUAAAAAACAAAACAAAAUAAAACAAAUAAAAACAAUAAACUAUUGGGUAUUUUUCCAUUUCAAUCAAUCCAGCAAGAAACAACUGCAUUACCUGAUGGCCUUAUAGUUAUGAUCCCUGCUGAAGCCAGUUUGCCAACCUGUAUUGGGUAUCUUUCACGGGUCCUUAAACUCCUCCUUUUCCCUACCUUUGUUUUUUGAGUGCUUCAUAUGUACUAGGCGCUAUUUUAAGAUCGUUACAUGUGUGGUGUUAUUUUCAUACCCUUCCUGAAUAGGUACAAUUAUUUUCCCAACUUUGAGAAAGAGAAACUGAGGCACAGGGGGAUUAAAUAACUUGCUAGUCACACAGGAGUAAAUGGUAGAGUUAAGGUUCCAACUCAAGAAGAACAAGUUUUGCUCCAGGCAGUGCUCUUCAUUACUAACUUAAACUGGUGACUUGUGGUCCACCCUGUUUCUAGGCAGAGGCAUUUGUAAAUCAUCUUAUUUGGUUGAUAAUCUGAUUGCUUCCAGAAUGAAAAUUUGUUUCUGCUCUUGCUUACCUGUUUACAUACACACUCAAACACACACACACACACACACACACACACUCACUCAUGCAUUACCGACUUCUUUUAAUUUGGGGAAAGAUGAGUAGAUCUUUUGGUGCUUAAUCCUUCUGUGUUCAAUGAAUGAUGUGUCUUUUACCCCUGGAUUUAUUUUAUCUUUAAAAAUGGCAUAGCUUAAAGAUUCUGAUUGCUAUCCAUUUGAGAACACUGACGGAGGAAUUAUUCCAUCCAAGGUCAACGUUUAUUACCUCUGUGUGUCCUUAGUCUUGAGUAAACUUUCUGAGCUUCAAUUUCUUUUUCCUUAAGGAAAGGUAAUUGUACCUACCUCGCAGGUGAUUAUGAAGAUUAUAUAAGAUCUGUAUAUAACCUCUAAAGACCUUUGUAAAUGGAUGAUGCUACUGAUAACUAAGUUGUUUUCUAUUCUCUGUAUCAUCUCUUCAUCUCUCCUGGAAAAAUGAGAUUUCUCUUGGUCUUCCAUCUUCUGCUAAUACUCUAGAGUUUAAGUAGAUAACCUAAGUUUCUCACAUAGCAACUUCAUCAGAGAAGUAAGAAAUAUGUAUUUGAAUGUAGAGAGAAAUGAGGCCAAACGGCCACACAGCAGAACUGGAACCAGAAACGCUUCUAACUCGUAGUCUAAAUCCAUUUUCUUUAGAUUAUAGUGUUCACUUUUUCUCACCGGUGCUUUUUCUU